ACUGGAUACAAAUUGCAGUUUAUUAAGGCUCCAGAGUGAGAAAUGGCACUUGGUUCUGGGCAGGGGCAGGGGCAGGGGUGUCAGUGGAACCCAAAGGAGCUGGGUCCAAACAUGUUGGAGGGACCUCCUCCAUCCCCCUACCCCCAAUAAAUAAAGUCUCAGCUCCAUCUCAGGGUGCUGGUGCAGGGCAGGGAUCCCUCACUGAGGAGAACCCAGGGCUGCUACCUCCUUCAUAUUUCUCCCCACAUUGGACCUGGUCACAGGUCAGUGAGCAACAGGGCUUCUGUGGUCCUAGUACUCUGAGGGGGCUGGGGAGUUCAGGGUGGAGAGCUGGGGCCUGGUGGUGGCCUCCCCGUAGCCAGUCAUAGUCCGAGGCUGCCCAGGGCAGGCUCAGAGUGGGGCCUGCGUUGGGGACACUGUGCGCAUCCCAGGUCGGGGCCCAGCCUGGGCCACAGCUAGAUGUGCAGCUCCGUGUCAUCAGGUGGCUCCAGGCCAGACUCUGCGCUGAGUGCUGAGGCUGAGGGACCCUGGGCCACCCCAAAUGGUGAGACAACGGGUGAGCGAGCAGCCAGAGGAGACAGAGAGGGUGAGAAGCUGGGGGACAUGGCAGCUGAGGACAGGGAGCCUUCAUGGCUGAUGGGGGAGCGGUGAGAAGCUGGUGGGAAGAUGGCCCGGGCUGCAGCUGUGUUUGCUGGCUUGGGGGGCACAGACUUGGCUCCUGGGUGGGCCACGCUUCAUCCUUGAGCCGAGCGAUCUCUGUGAAGACACUGGCCAGUGGUUGGAACUGAGGGCACCAGCUCAGCAGGUAGUCCCAGUUAUAGCUGCCACGGAGCUCCUCCUCGCCGGCCACAAUGGCUGUCAGCGCACCUGCCACACAUGGCUUGCCAUCUGCUGGGAAGCCAUAGUCCCCAGUGGGUGCAGGGCUCAGGCCACAGCCCCCCAGGAAGGCUGUGGCAGUGGUUCGCAGGAUGUGUCACUCAGACCAUCUGCAUCCUGCUGGAUGCCUGAGUCAGGGCCACGGGCAGCCAGAGAGGAGGCCACACUGGCCACACGGGGGAACUCAUUGAUCAUGCGGAUCUCAUCAUCCUCUGCAGCCUCUGCUGAUCCUCG
rnacentral:lncRNA from 1 species